rnacentral:rRNA from 1 species
UACAGAGGGUGCAAGCGUUAAUCGGAAUUACUGGGCGUAAAGCGCACGUAGGCGGUUUUUUAAGUCAGAUGUGAAAGCCCCGGGCUCAACCUGGGAAUUGCAUUUGAAACUGGGGAACUAGAGUGUGUGAGAGGGUGGUGGAAUUUCCUGUGUAGCGGUGAAAUGCGUAGAUAUAGGAAGGAACACCAGUGGCGAAGGCGACCACCUGGACUGAUACUGACACUGAGGUGCGAAAGCGUGGGGAGCAAACAGG